ensembl:lncRNA
GCCACCUCCUCGCCGUCUAGAGUGAGACCUUGUCCCGGUGGUCGUUAGGAGACGCUGUUCAGCGUCUGAGGUCACUGAGUGCCGCUCUCAUGAGCAAUCCGGCAGGGAAGAAACGUCCCCCUCUGCCUUUCGGUGUCUGGAUACACCUCUCACUUCUUUCCUGUCUUGUCUUCAAACAGCGAUGAGCUGUGCAGAGGCCCGGCCUUCCCGCCGUGAAGUGCGCCGUGGGCUUCUAUAGCUGGGGGGCGGGCCAUACACUGUCCCCUGUCCACUGUCCACACCCCCCUCCGCUUGACCCCGACCCCUGACUGCCGUCGAACCCAGAGUGGGAGACGCUGUCACUUCCUCCGGCCUCCGUCAAUCAGCGCGUACAGCCCCGGCCCCGCGCUGAGGGUCCGCUUCAGGUGACGGGGGGGGGCGAACACGUGCGACGCUUCAGUGCAAGGGGAGAUGAAGCGGCACCAGUGACGGCUGCGUGUAAUUCCACACGAACGCCAUUCGUUCUGUGAAUAAACGUCCCUCGCGCAUCCGCUGGGAUCAAUAUCGCUGGCAUAUUCGUGUCAAGGUUGUGACAUCAAUAUUCUUCUAGCACAUGUUGGGCCUCGCCGGGUUCCAAGCAGCCCAACACGUUUCAUGCAGUUUCGUGGCUUGGAGCACAUUACGGAUGCUGGGGGGGAAAAGCCGAUCAUUUGUUGAUGCCUCCGUGUCGGGUUUGAUAUUUUUUGUUUUGCAGUCUCCAAUUACCAAACACGAUUGGAUUCACACACGAGAGAGAGCCAAAUGAAAUGUGACUGUCUGUUCCAGCACGGGCAAUUAAAUUGUCAAAUUCUUCAAUCCGCUGGUGGUGGCAGGGCCCGGCGAUACAUAAAUUCGCUCCCCUCCCCAUAAUGCUGUCCGUGAAGAUUUAUAAAGGCAACAGCUUAAUGCAACUAUUAUGGCUGCAAAGGGCCUUCCAGAAAGCAGGAAGUAAUUACUAGUUCCAGUAAAGGAUCACAGAGAUGCUUUUUAUUGACCGGCGCAUUUGUUUACUACUGAUGAGCUGGGCGGCUUUACAUUGCUAGAAAUGCCCCCCCCCCUCCCCAAUCCCUCCCCCUUUCACAAAGGCAAGCAGUGAGUCCCACCGUGGUCAUUGAGCAUGCUCCAAACACCUUCUUUGACACUGCAUCUGAUUUGUGCCGUUGUGAUUUCAACCACGGGCUCCUGGAGAACAAGCUACAUGUUGUACAGAAAGGACCCUGCUAUGGAUCCAUCUGACCAUCUGCUAAAGAGAAAACUGACAGAUCAUGCAAUAAUCUGCACCCCCACCCCACACACCCCCCCUCUAUCAGGCCGAUUUGUCAUCCCCGUCGGUGGGGGUGACGUGCGAGGCUCUGCUGGAUCCGUCCGCGCCCGUCCAACACAAUGCAUUCACAUCAUGUAAUCCCGGCCGGUAAUCUGUUUAAACGCGAGGGGGCUGAGGGGGGGUAGAGGGCUAAUUCACGGGGACCCCUUUGCGCGAGGUAAACGGCUAAUCUCUGCGUGCAUCUGAAGCCAAUUAACCGCCGGCUUUUUUAAAUUUAUUUUCUUUAGCUUUUAAAUACAGGGGGGGGGGGGGGGGAACCAAACAAUAAAACCUACUUGGGUGAGUUCUG